AUUGAACGCUGGCGGCAUGCCUAACACAUGCAAGUCGAACGGUAGCAGGCCCUUCGGGGUGCUGACGAGUGGCGGACGGGUGAGGAAUGCAUCGGGGUCUGCCCUGUUGUGGGGGAUAACUUAGGGAAACUUAAGCUAAUACCGCAUACGACCUUAGGGUGAAAGCGGGGGACCUUCGGGCCUCGCGCAGCAGGAUGAACCGAUGUCGGAUUAGCUAGUUGGUAGGGUAAAGGCCUACCAAGGCGACGAUCCGUAGCUGGUCUGAGAGGAUGAUCAGCCACACCGGGGACUGAGACACGGGCCCCAGACUCCUACGGGAGGCAGCAGUGGGGAAUAUUGGACAAUGGGCGCAAGCCUGAUCCAGCAAUGCCGCGUGUGUGAAGAAGGCCUCGGGUUGUAAAGCACUUUUAUCAGGAAAGAAAUCCGCUGGACUAAUACUUUGGCGGGAUGACGGUACCUGAGGAAUAAGCACCGGCUAACUUCGUGCCAGCAGCCGCGGUAAUACGAAGGGUGCAAGCGUUAAUCGGAAUUACUGGGCGUAAAGCGUGCGUAGGUGGUUUGUUAAGUCUGCUGUGAAAGCCCUGGGCUCAACCUGGGAAUUGCAGUGGAUACUGGCUAACUAGAGUGCGGUAGAGGGUUGUGGAAUUCCCGGUGUAGCAGUGAAAAUGCGUAGAUAUCGGGAGGAACACCAGUGGCGAAGGCGGCAACCUGGACCAGCACUGACACUGAGGCACGAAAAGCGUGGGGGAGCAAACAGGAUUAGAUACCCUGGUAG
rnacentral:rRNA from 1 species